UCUACGAUCGUAUUGAGGUUG
ensembl:piRNA 21ur-5775 ncRNA